rnacentral:tRNA from 1 species
GUCGGCGCGGGCGGGCGUGCAGCGUACGGCGUUGCGUGCGACGCCGGCGAUGCCGAGAACGGUGGCGGGUGUGCGGUUCGAUCUCGCGCGUUGGUU